rnacentral:rRNA from 1 species
AUGGCGAGCAGCAUGGGGGGAGGGAACGCAGGGGAAGGGGAGUGGCUCAAGGUCGCCGAGCUGAGGGCCAUGGCGGAAGCCCAGGACCCGCAUGUCAAGGAGGUGGACAACCUGACGCUCCGGCGGUUCCUGCGGGCGCGCGGCCAUGCCGUCGGCAAGGCCUCGGCGAUGCUCCUCAAGUUCGUGGCGUGGAGGCGGGAGGCCGUGCUGGGCGGCGUCAUGCCGGCGGAGCUGGUGCGGACGGAGCUGUCGCACGAGAUGGCCUACAUGGCCGGGGCCGACCGCGCCGGCCGCCCCGUCAUGCUCGCCUUCCCCGCCAAGCACUUCUCUGCCACCCGCGACAUGGCCGGCUUCAAGCGCUAUGUUGUCUACUUGUUCGACGCCAUGUGUGCCAGGAUCCCUAGAGGGCAGGAGAAGUUUCUGUGCGUCGUGGAUCUAAAGGGGUGGGGGUACGCCAACUGCGACGUCCGCGCCUACAUCGCGGCCAUCGAGAUCCUGCAGAGCUACUACCCGGAGAGGCUGGGCAAGGCGCUGAUGAUCCAUGUGCCCUACCUGUUCAUGAAGGCGUGGAAGGUGGUUCAGCCCUUCAUCGACGCCAACACCAGGGACAAGUUCGUGUUCGUGGACGACAAGAGCUUGGAGGAGACGCUGCGGCGGGAGAUGGAGGACGGCCAGCUCCCGGAGAUGUACGGCGGGAAGAUGCCCAUUGUUCCCCUCGAGUAG